GCUCUUUAUGUCCAAGCUGAGCUAC
rnacentral:miRNA from 1 species